UACGUAGGGUGCGAGCGUUAAUCGGAAUUACUGGGCGUAAAGCGUGCGCAGGCGGUUCGCCAAGUCAGGUGUGAAAUCCCCGGGCUUAACCUGGGAAUUGCGCUUGAAACUAGCGGGCUUGAGUGUGGCAGAGGGGGGUGGAAUUCCACGUGUAGCAGUGAAAUGCGUAGAGAUGUGGAGGAACACCGAUGGCGAAGGCAGCCCCCUGGGUCAACACUGGCGCUCAUGCACGAAAGCGUGGGGAGCAAACAGG
rnacentral:rRNA from 1 species